AUGAGAGUUGGGAAUACCCGAAGCCUGUGAGCUAGCUUAUAGAGGCAGCAGUCGAAGGUAGAAUCAAUGAUUGGGGUGAAGUCGUAACAAGGUAGC
rnacentral:rRNA from 1 species